GUCGCAGUUCUCUGGUUCUGCUCCAGCACAGCCUCAUGAGAGGAAAUAACCUGUAGAUGGUGUCUAAGCACAUAAUUACUGGCAAAUAUAGCUAUUAGGAAAAGAGAAAGGUAAACUGCAUUUCAGGGGUGGGGGGGCAAUGAAGAAGUCUUCCCACAAGCUUUUGAUUAGAGAGAAUUUCAAGCACGCAGAAGAGCUGAAGAUAGACGGCUUUUUUUUAGAGAAAGCACUUGGUGUACAAGAUGAAGACCUGAGUUUGACUCAUCAGAAGUCAUUUCAAACAGCCGUGUGUGGUAGUACACAUCUGUCAUCCCAUGGUUCCUACAAAGAGAUUGGAGGCUGAGAUGGAACAACGCCUACAAGCUCCUAGGGGUAGCUAGCCUGGUGGACACAGUGACAAGGAGAUACUGCCUCAAACAAGCUCAAUCUGUCCCUGAACUCACUAUAUAACCAAGGAUGACCUUAAACGUCUCCUGUCCCCACCUUCAGAACAUGGGACUUACAAGCAUGUGCCACCGCAUCCAAGAUGGCUUUCAAAAGCUGCCAAACAGAGGCACUGAUGUCCUUAAUUAAUGCCACUGACCCAGUGAAUUGGGAUUCUGGAUGAUGUGUCCAAGACACCGAAUUGACUUUAGAUAGGGUAAGUAUGAAGACUUCCAGUUUUCAGGUGGAAAUACAGGCUCUGAACUCUAGUAGAGGCCAACAUAGGAGUGGGUUCAUCAGAGUAUAUGCUAUCUACGCUGGAACAGCACUUGACUCUGGUGGAGGUCAGGGUAGGGGCAGAGAUGAGGGUCCAGCUCACGUCCUGGGCUGUAGCCAUACAGAGUAUGCAGAUGGGGAUAGGGGAUCAGUCCUAAUGGGCAGGUCAUACUGAGCUCUAGAUGAGCUCUUGCAUGUGAAAUUCCAGGCUCUUGGCGAGGACUUCACAGUGAAGUUUCAUGCUGAAAGGGGAAGAGAUGCUUUAGAAUGAUGAACAGGGUUCCAGGGCCAAAAGCUCCCGGGAGUAACAGGGUUGCCCCUCUGUCUACUGCACUUAGGAAAGCCCUUUUCUUCAGCUCCCUCCGGCCCCUUCUGAGAAGUCAAGACCAGCUAGGACUAUAUGUGAAAGAAAACAUUUAUUGCAGGAGUCCUCCUGGAGCUCAGGGCAAGAAAUAAUUUUCUGGAACAAUAAGAGAGGGAAGGUUGGGCAGUCUGCAAAGUGAACAGCUGACUGAACUGAUAGUGGAAUUACAUGGCCUGGGAUCAACCAUAGUUUGGUCCUUCUGUCUGUCCCUCAAUUAACCCCUUUGUGCCUCGGUUUCCCUACCCGUCAACCAUGAU
rnacentral:lncRNA from 1 species